AAAUUGAAGAGUUUGAUCAUGGCUCAGAUUGAACGCUGGCGGCAGGCCUAACACAUGCAAGUCGAGCGGUAGCACAGAGAGCUUGCUCUCGGGUGACGAGCGGCGGACGGGUGAGUAAUGUCUGGGAAACUGCCUGAUGGAGGGGGAUAACUACUGGAAACGGUAGCUAAUACCGCAUAACGUCGCAAGACCAAAGUGGGGGACCUUCGGGCCUCAUGCCAUCAGAUGUGCCCAGAUGGGAUUAGCUAGUAGGUGGGGUAACGGCUCACCUAGGCGACGAUCCCUAGCUGGUCUGAGAGGAUGACCAGCCACACUGGAACUGAGACACGGUCCAGACUCCUACGGGAGGCAGCAGUGGGGAAUAUUGCACAAUGGGCGCAAGCCUGAUGCAGCCAUGCCGCGUGUGUGAAGAAGGCCUUCGGGUUGUAAAGCACUUUCAGCGGGGAGGAAGGCGGUGAGGUUAAUAACCUCAUCGAUUGACGUUACCCGCAGAAGAAGCACCGGCUAACUCCGUGCCAGCAGCCGCGGUAAUACGGAGGGUGCAAGCGUUAAUCGGAAUUACUGGGCGUAAAGCGCAUGCAGGCGGUCUGUCAAGUCGGAUGUGAAAUCCCCGGGCUCAACCUGGGAACUGCAUUCGAAACUGGCAGGCUAGAGUCUUGUAGAGGGGGGUAGAAUUCCAGGUGUAGCGGUGAAAUGCGUAGAGAUCUGGAGGAAUACCGGUGGCGAAGGCGGCCCCCUGGACAAAGACUGACGCUCAGGUGCGAAAGCGUGGGGAGCAAACAGGAUUAGAUACCCUGGUAGUCCACGCCGUAAACGAUGUCGAUUUGGAGGUUGUGCCCUUGAGGCGUGGCUUCCGGAGCUAACGCGUUAAAUCGACCGCCUGGGGAGUACGGCCGCAAGGUUAAAACUCAAAUGAAUUGACGGGGGCCCGCACAAGCGGUGGAGCAUGUGGUUUAAUUCGAUGCAACGCGAAGAACCUUACCUGGUCUUGACAUCCACAGAACUUUCCAGAGAUGGAUUGGUGCCUUCGGGAACUGUGAGACAGGUGCUGCAUGGCUGUCGUCAGCUCGUGUUGUGAAAUGUUGGGUUAAGUCCCGCAACGAGCGCAACCCUUAUCCUUUGUUGCCAGCGGUUCGGCCGGGAACUCAAAGGAGACUGCCAGUGAUAAACUGGAGGAAGGUGGGGAUGACGUCAAGUCAUCAUGGCCCUUACGACCAGGGCUACACACGUGCUACAAUGGCAUAUACAAAGAGAAGCGACCUCGCGAGAGCAAGCGGACCUCAUAAAGUAUGUCGUAGUCCGGAUUGGAGUCUGCAACUCGACUCCAUGAAGUCGGAAUCGCUAGUAAUCGUAGAUCAGAAUGCUACGGUGAAUACGUUCCCGGGCCUUGUACACACCGCCCGUCACACCAUGGGAGUGGGUUGCAAAAGAAGUAGGUAGCUUAACCUUCGGGAGGGCGCUUACCACUUUGUGAUUCAUGACUGGGGUGAAGUCGUAACAAGGUAACCGUAGGGGAACCUGCGGUUGGAUCACCUCCUUA
rnacentral:rRNA from 1 species